GCCACUGUUGUAUGUGAGAAGUUGGGAAGGAUAUAAAAGGAAAUUUAAUGUUUAUCUAUAAUAAAUUAUUAAUCAUUGCUAAUGAAAAACGAUUCUGAGAGGAGCUUGGUUAAUAGUAUUGCUUUUUUAACAAUAUAUAAUAUGUCAUAUUACAGUAAAAUAAAUAUAUAUUGAAAAAAUUUGUAUGAACCAGUAACUAGAUUUGUUUAACAUACUUUUUUACUAA